rnacentral:rRNA from 1 species
ACGAACGCUGGCGGCAGGCUUAACACAUGCAAGUCGAGCGCCUCGCAAGAGGAGCGGCAGACGGGUGAGUAACGCGUGGGAAUCUACCCAUCUCUACGGAACAACUCCGGGAAACUGGAGCUAAUACCGUAUACGUCCUUUUGGAGAAAGAUUUAUCGGAGAUGGAUGAGCCCGCGUUGGAUUAGCUAGUUGGUGGGGUAAUGGCCUACCAAGGCGACGAUCCAUAGCUG